rnacentral:rRNA from 1 species
UAAGACGAACCGUGCGAACGUUGUUCGGAUUCACUGGGCUUAAAGGGCGCGUAGGCGGACGAUCGAGUCAGGGGUGAAAUCCUUCAGCUUAACUGGAGAAGUGCCUUUGAUACUGGUUGUCUCGAGGGAGGUAGGGGCAUGUGGAACUUCCGGUGGAGCGGUGAAAUGCGUAGAGAUCGGAAGGAACGCCGGUGGCGAAAGCGACGUGCUGGACCUCUUCUGACGCUGAGGCGCGAAAGCUAGGGGAGCGAACGGG